AGUGAACGCUGGCGGUAGGCCUAACACAUGCAAGUCGAACGGCAGCACAGGAGAGCUUGCUCUCUGGGUGGCGAGUGGCGGACGGGUGGGGAAUACAUCGGAAUCUACUCUGUCGUGGGGGAUAACGUAGGGAAACUUACGCUAAUACCGCAUACGACCUACGGGUGAAAGCAGGGGACCUUCGGGCCUUGCGCGAUUGAAUGAGCCGAGGUCGGAUUAGCUAGUUGGCGGGGUAAAGGCCCACCAAGGCGACGAUCCGUAGCUGGUCUGAGAGGAUGACCAGCCACACUGGAACUGAGACACGGUCCAGACUCCUACGGGAGGCAGCAGUGGGGAAUAUUGGACAAUGGGCGAAAGCCUGAUCCAGCCAUACCGCGUGGGUGAAGAAGGCCUUCGGGUUGUAAAGCCCUUUUGUUGGGAAAGAAAUCCAGCUGGCUAAUACCCGGUUGGGAUGACGGUACCCAAAGAAUAAGCACAGGCUAACUUCGUGCCAGCCGCCGCCGUAA
rnacentral:rRNA from 1 species